CCUACGGGAGGCAGCAGUGGGGAAUAUUGCACAAUGGGGGAAACCCUGAUGCAGCGACGCCGCGUGAGUGAAGAAGUAAUUCGUUAUGUAAAGCUCUAUCAGCAGGGAAGCAAAUGACGGUACCUGAGUAAGAAGCCCCGGCUAACUACGUGCCAGCAGCCGCGGUAAUACGUAGGGGGCAAGCGUUAUCCGGAUUUACUGGGUGUAAAGGGAGCGUUGACGGCAGUGCAAGUCUGGAGUGAAAGGCGGGGGCUCAAACCCCGGACUGCUCUGGAAACUGUAGGGCUGGAGUGCAGGAGAGGUAAGUGGAAUGCGUGGUGUAGCGGUGAAAUGCGUAGAUAUUAGGCAGAACCCCGGUGGCGAAGGCAGCUUGCUGGACUGUGACUGACGUUGAAGCUCGAAAGCGUGGGGAGCGAACAGGAUUAGAUACCCCAGUAGUC
rnacentral:rRNA from 1 species